AUUGAACGCUGGCGGUAGGCCUAACACAUGCAAGUCGAACGCGAAAGUCCUUCGGAUGAGUAGAGUGGCGGACGGGUGAGUAACGCGUAGGAAUCUGUCCUGUAGUGGGGGAGUAACGUUUCGAAAGGAACGCUAAUACCGCAUACGCCCUACGGGGAAAGCGGGGAGUCUUCGGACCUCGCGCUAGAGGAGGAGCCUGCGUCGGAUUAGCUAGUUGGUGAGGUAAAGGCUCACCAAGGCGACGAUCCGUAGCUGGUCUGAGAGGAUGAUCAGCCACACCGGAACUGAGACACGGUCCGGACUCCUACGGGAGGCAGCAGUGGGGAAUAUUGCGCAAUGGGCGAAAGCCUGACGCAGCCAUACCGCGUGUGUGAAGAA
rnacentral:rRNA from 1 species